GCUCCCGUAGUCUAGUGGAUAUUUAAUGAAACCAUAAAGGACACAAGAUUGCGGAUCUUGAGACCGGAGUUCGAUUCUCCGCGGGAGCG
rnacentral:tRNA from 1 species